rnacentral:lncRNA from 1 species
CCUCACUUGUUAAUUAAGAGUAUUCGGAAGAAAAACCUUGGGAUACCUUGGAUGGCGGGACGGUGGAACCUUGGCCAAACUUGCAAAGACCGUCGGAAUCGCCGGGCCGGGAAUGUCAACUAAUGGACGUGAACCGGUAUAAGGACCCAAACCUAGGCGGAUCUCGCCCUAGAUCCGUUUGUUGAAGCUGUGUGAGAAAACCUGAGAAUUAGGUCGCCCAAACCGAAUCACCACCACACCGACAGUGGGUGGCUUAGAGCCAUCGCGGUUAGGGCCAGGGAGAACUCUGGCAAAUAAGAAAUAAGAACCUGCAAUAAAAACCAAGCAACCAAACCCUAGAUCUGAAAAGAGAGAAAUCUGAGAAGGAAACGAAAAACGAAACCAAUCCCCAGAUCUCUCCACACACAAACCCAGAACUAGUUAACUAAACAAAAGCUGAAAAGCCAACCGACGCCGUGGCCAUGGUGGCCCACACGCGCCGGUCGGAGACACAAAACCAGCGGCGAGUUUGUUGAAGAGAGAAGGGUGUUGUUGUACUCUUAAUAUCCAAAAUUUAUGUGAUUUUGACCCGACGUAUGAUGUGCUUUAGUCCAAAACUUUUCAAACAAAAACCAAAAAAGAUAAAAUUAUAGAAUGACUUUUUCUAGAACC